ACGUGGAAAUUCUUGUUCACAAUGUAGACUUUUCAAAGAACAACAGCUAGCUUGAGUCAAUGCAUGGCCUUCUAUGUUAUAGUCUUUGCUCAGAAUAAUGGGUCUAAAUUUUACAUAUUGGCUAAUUAAGAGCUCUAAGAACAGAAAGCAAUGGACAUCUUUGCUUCUGUGCUUUUGAGUUCCAGUUUGCUUCUCUUCUACUUUGUAUUCUCGGAUGCUGCUAAUAACAGCAUUUCUCAAUCCCAAUCCCUCAGGGACAUUGAGAACGCAACCUUGGUCUCUAAAGAUGGAGGCUUUGUCCUGGGGUUCUUCAGUCCAGGUAAUUCCAAUAACCGUUACUUGGGAAUUUGGUACAACAAUAUCCCAGGUAAAACGGUUGUUUGGGUAGCAAACCGGGGCAAUCCAAUCACAGACUCGUCUGGCAUGUUGAUGGUAAACAGUUCAGGUAGUCUUGUUCUUCUUGGCCAGUAUUCGACGUUUGCUUGGUCGGCAAAUCAAACAAAAGUGGCCAAGAAUCCAAUAGUACAGCUCUUAGAUUCAGGAAAUCUAGUAUUAGGAGAAGAGAAUGAAGACAAUUAUUUUUGGCAAAGCUUUGACUAUCCUUCUGAUACGUGGCUAGCAGGGAUGAAGCUUGGAUGGGACCGAAGGAUUGGGCUGGAUAGGCGCCUAACUGCAUGGAAGAGUCCAGAUGAUCCCUCUCCAGGAGAACUGAGUUGGGGGAUUGAACUUCAUAAUUACCCAGAAUUAGUCAUGAUGAAAGGCUCCCAGAAGUGCUUCCGGUCCGGCCCAUGGAAUGGCCAUUUUUUCAGUGGUAUGCCAGAGUUACAGGCCACCCCGCUUUACAACUUCACUUUUGCCUCCAACAAAGAUGAGGUUUACUUCACGUUCGAUAUGAUUCAAAAGUCUGCAAUCACAAGAGCAGUUUUGAACCAGUCACAGUAUGAGCGCUACAUGUGGGUUAAAGAAAAAAACGAAUGGAGUAUGUUCUUGAAUUUGCCAAAAGACAAAUGCGACACUUACGAUUUAUGUGGUCCUUAUGGAAAUUGUAUCAUGGGUGAGUCACCUGUUUGUCAGUGUGUAGAAGGAUUCAAGCCUAAAUCAUCACAACAAACAUGGAACCCAGAAGAGUGGUAUAAGGGAUGUGAACGCAGUACGCAAUUGAGCUGCCAGGAUAAAGAUAAAAUUGAGUUUGUUAUAUUGUCUGGGCUCAAAAUGCCAGACACCACACAUUCUCUGUUGAACGAAAGUAUGAGUCUUAAUGAAUGCAAGGUCAAAUGUUUGAACGACUGUAACUGUACAGCUUAUUCAAACUCAGAUACUAGAAAUGGAGGUAGUGGAUGCGCCAUGUGGUUUGGGGAUCUAAUUGAUAUAAGACAGAUGGCAGCGAACAAGCAGGAUGCUAAUAGCCAGGAUGUAUAUAUUCGAAUGCCUGGUUCAGGGCAAGUGCUGAAAAAUAAGCAAAAGAGGAAGGUGAUUGUAAUAGUCGUGGUUGCCAUUGCCGUAGUUUUUGGGGUGCUCUUGAUUCCCUACUGCAUUUGGAAAAGGAAAAGCUUGAGAGAUAACAUGGAGAACAAUGAGAUACUAGACCAGAACAUUGAACUCCAAAGUGAAGACUUAGAGGUCCCAUUCUUCAGCCUAGCAACCAUAGUCACUGCCACUAACAACUUUUCAAGUGAUAACAAGCUAGGUGAAGGAGGCUUUGGACUUGUAUACAAGGGUAUACUAACAGAUGGACAUGAAAUUGCUGUGAAAAGGCUUUCACGAAGUUCUAUACAAGGAUUGAAUGAGUUUAAAAAUGAAGUUAUGUUGAUUGCCAAAUUGCAACACCGUAAUCUGGUUAGGCUUUUGGGCUAUUGCAUUGAAGGAGAGGAGAUAAUGCUAAUUUAUGAAUAUAUGCCCAACGGAAGCUUAGACUCCUUUAUUUUUGAUAAAACGAGAGCUAAUGUUUUAGAUUGGUCUAUGCGCUUCAAUAUUAUUUGUGGGAUUGCACGAGGGCUUCUAUAUCUUCAUGAGGAUUCUAGAUUGAGAAUUAUACAUAGAGAUCUCAAGGCAAGUAAUGUAUUACUUGAUAGUAAGAUGAGCCCAAAAAUUUCUGACUUUGGCAUGGCUAGAAUCUUUGGGGGAGAACAAACUGAAGGAAAUACAGAUAGAGUGGUUGGAACUUAUGGGUAUAUGGCACCUGAAUAUGCCAUUGAUGGUCUAUUUUCAGUGAAAUCUGAUGUAUAUAGUUUUGGAAUAUUGUUGCUGGAGAUAUUAAGUGGAAAGAAAAAUCGAAGGUCUUUCCAUCCAAGCCAAGGUCUAAACCUUGUUGCACAUGCAUGGAAUUUAUGGAAAGAUAGCAAACCUUUAGAACUAAUUGAUACUUGCUUAAAGGACAGUUGCAUCCUAUUGGAGUUUGUUCGUUGCCUUCAUAUAAGUUUCUUAUGUUUGCAACAAUAUCAUGAGGAUCGGCCUAACAUGUCAUCUGUGGUUAUGAUGUUGCAUGGAGAAAGUUCAUUACCUGAACCUAAAGAUCCUACUUCCUUGGUAGGGAAAAAAUUCUCUUCAUCAAGCAAGAACUCAUCACAUUCAACCAAUGAAAUUACUAUUACACUGUUAAAGGCUCGAUAGCUAAACUCCAUAUCCAUUACAUUAUACUAAGUGUUACGUCCACAAUACUUUCACAAAACUUUUAUAACAAAUUUUAAGUGGUAGGUUGUUACUGGUAGACAAGAAAGUAAUUUCAGUGGUGGUUUUAAAUUAAAACCAAUAACGACUUGUCAUCUAGGAUUUGUUGUGAAAGUGUUGUGGAUAUAGAAUUUAUCUAUUAUAUAUCUCCUAAUUGAUAUUUAUAUUGUACAUUUUGUAAGUUAAACACAUUUGUAUUCCCAAGAAGGUGGCAUGAUAUGAAUCUUAUUUGAAUGGUAAA